rnacentral:rRNA from 1 species
GAUGAACGCUGGCGGCGUGCUUAACACAUGCAAGUCGAACGGAAAGGCCCAAGCUUGCUUGGGUACUCGAGUGGCGAACGGGUGAGUAACACGUGGGGGAUCUGCCCUGCACUUCGGGAUAAGCCUGGGAAACUGGGUCUAAUACCGGAUAGGACGAUGGUUUGGAUGCCAUUGUGGAAAGUUUUUUCGGUGUGGGAUGAGCUCGCGGCCUAUCAGCUUGUUGGUGGGGUAAUGGCCUACCAAGGCGUCGACGGGUAGCCGGCCUGAGAGGGUGUACGGCCACAUUGGGACUGAGAUACGGCCCAGACUCCUACGGGGGGCAGCAGUGGGGAAUAUUGCACAAUGGGCGCAAGCCUGAUGCAGCGACGCCGCGUGGGGGAUGACGGCCUUCGGGUUGUAAACUCCUUUCGCUAGGGACGAAGCGUUUUUGUGACGGUACCUGGAGAAGAAGCACCGGCUAACUACGUG